rnacentral:rRNA from 1 species
CAGUAGCCACGGUAAUACGAAGGGUGCAAGCGUUACUCGGAAUUACUGGGCGUAAAGCGUGCGUAGGUGGUGGUUUAAGUCCGUUGUGAAAGCCCUGGGCUCAACCUGGGAAUUGCAGUGGAUACUGGGUCACUAGAGUGUGGUAGAGGAUAGUGGAAUUUCCGGUGUAGCAGUGAAAUGCGUAGAGAUCGGAAGGAACAUCUGUGGCGAAGGCGACUAUCUGGGCCAACACUGACACUGAGGCACGAAAGCGUGGGGAGCAAACAGGAUUAGAGACCCCCGUAGUCCCUGUCUCUUAUAC